rnacentral:rRNA from 1 species
GUAGGGAAUAUUGGGCAAUGGAGGCAACUCUGACCCAGCCAUGCCGCGUGCAGGAUGACGGCCCUCUGGGUUGUAAACUGCUUUUAUCUGGGAAGAAAAAGGCCAUGCGUGGCAAAUUGCCGGUACCAGAUGAAUAAGCACCGGCUAACUCCGUGCCAGCAGCCGCGGUAAUACGGAGGGUGCGAGCGUUGUCCGGAUUUAUUGGGUUUAAAGGGUGCGUAGGCGGCUGAUUAAGUCAGCGGUGAAAGACUUCGGCUUAACCGGAGCAGUGCCGUUGAUACUGGUUGGCUUGAGUGUCGGAGGGGUACAUGGAAUUGAUGGUGUAGCGGUGAAAUGCAUAGAUACCAUCAGGAACACCGAUAGCGAAGGCAUUGUACUGGCCGACAACUGACGCUGAUGCACGAAAGUGUGGGGAUCGAACAGGAUUAGAUACCCCAGUAGUCC